ensembl:lncRNA
ACUACUGUUGAUCAGGGCCCUAUUCCCUAUAUAGUACACUACUGUUGACCAGGGCCCUAUUCCCUAUAUAGUACACUAAUUUUGAUCAGAGGCCUAUUCCCUAUAUAGUGCACUAAUUUUGAUCAGAGGCCUGUGAGGAAUAGGGGGCCAAUUGGGACGCAGACUGUAUGUGAAACUGAUCAGUUUUUAAAUGUUUCUGCGGUUCUUAUUGGUUGUCUGAUUCUCUGACCAUGUCUGUGGUUGUUAUGGUUACCGUCUGAUCCAGUUCAUACAGACUGUUUUGGUUGUUGUUUCUUUGUUCUGUUUAUCUCUCUCUCUUUUUGUGGUUUAACUGUCUGUGGUCAGGUUCUGGCCAAUCAGAUGGGUCCGUGGUCAGGUUCUGGCCAAUCAGAUGGGUCAGGUUCUGGCCAAUCAGAUGGGUCAGGUUCUGGCCAAUCAGAUGGGUCCGGGGUCAGGUUCUGGCCAAUCAGAUGGGUCCGGGGUCAGGUUCUGGCCAAUCAGAUGGGUCCGUGGUCAGGUUCUGGCCAAUCAGAUGGGUCCGUGGUCAGGUUCUGGCCAAUCAGAUGGGUCCGUGGUCAGGUUCUGGCCAAUCAGAUGGGUCCGUGGUCAGGUUCUGGCCAAUCAGAUGGGUCCGUGGUCAGGUUCUGGCCAAUCAGAUGGGUCCGUGGUCAGGUUCUGGCCAAUCAGAUGGGUCCGUGGUCAGGUUCUGGCCAAUCAGAUGGGUCCGUGGUCAGGUUCUGGCCAAUCAGAUGGGUCCGUGGUCAGGUUCUGGCCAAUCAGAUGGGUCCGUGGUCAGGUUCUGGCCAAUCAGAUGGGUCUGUGGUGGUGUUGUGACUACUGCUGUCUAACUCCUCCUGGAGGACCCCUGGUGUUUCUGAUAGUUUAACUUCCGUCCGGGAUUCAAUCAAAGGCGCAUUGUGGAUUAUGAGCAAACCAAACUAGACUGUUCAAUCAAAUGUUCAGCUGACAUCCGCAGCGUUUACCAUGACAACCAGAGGAAUGAGCUGGUUAACGGUGCGACGUGGUCAGUGCACCUUUAGGUUGAAUCCCAGCCGUCUCAUUCAGACCUGGGACACCAAAUCAUGUAUCAAUUACAUGUCCCAAAAUGGCACCCUAUUCCCUAUAUAGUCCCCUACCUU